UACGGAGGGGGCAAGCGUUAUCCGGAUUCACUGGGCUUAAAGGGCGCGUAGGUGGGCAGGUAAGUCAGAGGUGAAAGUCCCCGAGCUUAACUUGGGAACUGCCGUUGAUACUAUCUGUCUUGAAUAUCGUGGAGGUUAGCGGAAUAUGUCAUGUAGCGGUGAAAUGCAUAGAGAUGACAUAGAACACCGAUAGCGAAGGCAGCUUGCUACACGAGUAUUGACACUGAGGCACGAAAGCGUGGGGAUCAAACAGG
rnacentral:rRNA from 1 species